rnacentral:rRNA from 1 species
UCAAACGAGAAAGUGGAGCAAUCCAUGAGUAAAGUGGCGACCGGGUGAGUAACACGUGACUAACCUACCUUCAAGUGGGGGAUAACCUCGGGAAACCGGGGCUAAUACCGCAUAACAUCUCCGGGAUGGAAAUCCUGUUGAUCAAAGGAGCAAUUCGCUGGAAGAGGGGGUCGCGGCUGAUUAGCUAGUUGGCGGGGUAAUGGCCCACCAAGGCUUUGAUCGGUAGCCGGCCUGAGAGGGCGCACGGCCACACUGGAACUGAAACACGGUCCAGACUCCUACGGGAGGCAGCAGUGGGGAAUUUUGCGCAAUGGGGGAAACCCUGACGCAGCAACGCCGCGUGGAGGAUGAAGUCCCUUGGGACGUAAACUCCUUUCGACUGGGAAGAUAAUGACGGUACCAGUGGAAGAAGCCCCGGCUAACUUCGUGCCAGCAGCCCCG